rnacentral:rRNA from 1 species
UACAGGGGGUGCAAACGUUGCUCGGAAUCAUUGGGCGUAAAGCGCACGUAGGCGGUCUGUUAUGUCGGAUGUGAAAGCCCUUGGCUUAACUGAGGAAGUGCAUCCGAAACUGGCAGGCUAGAGUACUAAAGAGGGUCGCGGAAUUCCCGGUGUAGAGGUGAAAUUCGUAGAUAUCGGGAGGAACACUGGUGGCGAAGGCGGCGACCUGGGUAGAUACUGACGCUGAGGUGCGAAAUCGUGGGGAGCAAACAGG